GACGAACGCUGGCGGCGUGCUUAACACAUGCAAGUCGAACGCUGAAGCUUGGUGCUUGCACUGGGUGGAUGAGUGGCGAACGGGUGAGUAAUACGUGAGUAACCUGCCUUUGAGUCUGGGAUAAGCCUGGGAAACUGGGUCUAAUACUGGAUACGACAUGUCACCGCAUGGUGGUGUGUGGAAAGGGUUUUAUUGGUUUUGGAUGGGCUCGCGGCCUAUCAGCUUGUUGGUGAGGUAAUGGCUCACCAAGGCGACGACGGGUAGCCGACCUGGGAGGGUGGCCGGCCACACUGGGACUGAGACACGGCCCAGACUCCUACGGGAGGCAGCAGUGGGGAAUAUUGCACAGUGGGCGGGAGCCUGAUGCAGCGACGCCGCGUGCGGGAUGACGGCCUUCGGGUUGUAAACCUCUUUCAGCACGGAAGAAGCGAAAGUGACGGUACGUGCAGAAGAAGCGCCGGCUAACUACGUG
rnacentral:rRNA from 1 species